UCGAGGGGCAGCGGGGGAUGCGUUCGCGCAUUCUGCCGGCGACCGGCGCACGGGUGAGUAACACGUAUGCAACCUGCCCCGUCCAGGGGGAUAAUCGGCGGAAACGCCGUCUAAUACCGCGUAUAUCGAUUCCGGGCAUCCGGGAUUGAAGAAAGGGCCUUAGGGUCCGGGACGGGAUGGGCAUGCGGCGCAUUAGGAAGUUGGCGGUGUAACGGACCACCAAUCCGUCGAUGCGUAGGGGUUCUGAGAGGAAGGCCCCCCACACUGGUACUGAGACACGGACCAGACUCCUACGGGAGGCAGCAGUGAGGAAUAUUGGUCAAUGGGCGGGAGCCUGAACCAGCCAAGUCGCGUGAGGGAAGAAGGUACUGAGUAUUGUAAACCUCUUUUGCCAGGGGACAAAGGCGGCCACGGGUGGCCGUAAGAGGGUACCUGGAGAAAAAGCAUCGGCUAACUCCGUGCCAGCAGCCGCGGUAAUACGGAGGAUGCGAGCGUUAUCCGGAUUUAUUGGGUUUAAAGGGUGCGCAGGCGGCGUGUCAAGUCAGCGGUAAAAUGUCGGGGCUCAACCCCGGCCGGCCGUUGAAACUGGCGUGCUCGAGUUGGAGAGAAGUAUGCGGAAUUCGUGGUGUAGCGGUGAAAUGCAUAGACAUCACGAAGAACCCCGAUUGCGAAGGCAGCAUACCGGCUCCACACUGACGCUGAGGCACGAAAGCGUGGGUAUCGAACAGGAUUAGAUACCCUGGUAGUCCACGCAGUAAACGAUGAAUGCUAGGUGUCCGGGGCUUUGUGUCCUGCGUGCCACAGCGAAAGCGU
rnacentral:rRNA from 1 species